AAUAUUGGGGUACCAUAGCAUUUUCCUAAAUAGAGUUUGGUUGAGGUUGUUUGGAAUCUUAAAUAAGUAGGUCGGGUAGGUCUUAAUCAGGUAGUUUGUGGGUAUUUAACAUUUGUAGAGAGAGAAUGUCAUAAAAGGAAGGGGGCGUUUUCUUAGCUACAGUACAAAAACGUUAUAGCUUAGGUACAGUGGUUAACUUGGAGUUGGGACUAAAUUGACUAUAAUGUCCUUCUAAUACAUGUGCUGUUCACUGUUGUGCAAUGCAUUCGCUAAUGGGAAAGGGCAUUUAGAUAAGGAUAAUG
rnacentral:lncRNA from 1 species